rnacentral:tRNA from 1 species
UAAUAUGGCAGAUUUAAGUGCAAUGGAUUUAAAUUCCACUUAUAAAGAAUUUUUCUUUUAUUAAUA